UGGGGGAUAUUGCGCAAUGGGGGCAACCCUGACGCAGCAACGCCGCGUGAAGGAUGAAGGUUUUCGGACUGUAAACUUCUUUUAUUAAGGACGAAAAUUGACGGUACUUAAUGAAUAAGCUCCGGCUAACUACGUGCCAGCAGCCGCGGUAAUACGUAGGGAGCAAGCGUUGUCCGGAUUUACUGGGUGUAAAGGGUGCGUAGGCGGCUUUGCAAGUCAGAUGUGAAAUCUAUGGGCUCAACCCAUAAACUGCAUUUGAAACUGUAGAGCUUGAGUGAAGUAGAGGCAGGCGGAAUUCCCCGUGUAGCGGUGAAAUGCGUAGAGAUGGGGAGGAACACCAGUGGCGAAGGCGGCCUGCUGGGCUUUAACUGACGCUGAGGCACGAAAGCGUGGGUAGCAAACAGGAUUAGAUACCCUGGUAGUCCACGCUGUAAACGAUGAUUACUAGGUGUGGGGGGUCUGACCCCUUCCGUGCCGGAGUUAACACAAUAAGUAAUCCACCUGGGGAGUACGGCCGCAAGGUUGAAACUCAAAGGAAUUGACGGGGGCCCGCACAAGCAGUGGAGUAUGUGGUUUAAUUCGAAGCAACGCGAAGAACCUUACCAGGUCUUGACAUCCAACUAACGAAGUAGAGAUACAUUAGGUGCCCUUCGGGGAAAGUUGAGACAGGUGGUGCAUGGUUGUCGUCAGCUCGUGUCGUGAGAUGUUGGGUUAAGUCCCGCAACGAGCGCAACCCUUGCUAUUAGUUGCUACGCAAGAGCACUCUAAUAGGACUGCCGUUGACAAAACGGAGGAAGGUGGGGACGACGUCAAAUCAUCAUGCCCCUUAUGACCUGGGCUACACACGUACUACAAUGGAUGUUAACAGAGGGAAGCAAGACAGUGAUGUGGAGCAAACCCCUAAAAACAUUCUCAGUUCAGAUUGCAGGCUGCAACCCGCCUGCAUGAAGAUGGAAUUGCUAGUAAUCGCGGAUCAGAAUGCCGCGGUGAAUACGUUCCC
rnacentral:rRNA from 1 species